CUGGGAAAGCCAAGGCAUAGUUUACUUUCACACCAGUAUUCGAGCUUAGUAUGUUUUGUAAAUCUUACUCGAGGCUUGGAUGAGGAAUUCAAUGAAAAUAUGAUGCCUUUGCCAUUUCCACAAUAACAAAUGAUGAACUGCCAUUGAAGCUGGAUGGGGAUUUCAACACCCGUUAAAUAUUAGAUGCAGCUGUACAUUUGAGUCAUAAAUGUUGCCUUGAAGUACUUGUAUUUGUUUA